CAUUUCGAAAGCAGGUGUUCAUUUCCCGCUCCGUCGUCUUCAACGAAGCUUUCGCUCAGAGAAUCGCGGGAGGAGCGAGCUUUUGCUUUCGCAUCGCAAAGCUCCAAAUUAUGGAGGAGACGAUAACGACGCUCAGCAAAAGCCUGGGCUACUUCUGCAACCACCUCCAGAGUAGCGUCGACGCCCUCAAGCAAUCCAUGGAUCGCCGUCCCAUCCCUCUCGAUUCAUCUUCUUCGACCUUCAUUCAGUGCCUGAACCGACGCGUGUCCACCGCUAGCAGCGAUCUCAAUUUGCUCGACUCCAUGUCGUUUGGAACCGUGUCGUUCGAGGAGUUGUUAGGUCACUGCAACGAGGUUUUCAAGAAGAACCAAAGCGACCUUGCUCAGCUCGAAGAACGCCUUAAGAGCUUCGGCUAUGUCCCCAAUGUUGACAAUGAUGAAGAAGAUGCAAUAGAUGAUUUAUCCAGCCCCAUCGAACUUGAUCCUAAUUUUCCACUAGCAAAUGGUGGAUUUGACCAGCCAUCUUCAUGUUCGGGGCGACUUACUGCAGCAGCUUCUAUGACAAAGAGUUUUGAAGAAGACUCACUAUUUGAUGACUCCAUCAGCUUGAAAAGACUUGGUAUAUCUGACCUAGCUCUGGCCACAAUAGCUUCGGAAGCUAAUGGUGAGACUGUUGAGCCAAAUCUAUGCUUGAGACAACCACAAAAGUAUGAUGGUUCAUGCUUGAGAAAUCAAGAGGAUAAGAUGCAAGACCUGGAGAGGCCAUAUCAACCUGCUACAGUGAACUUGGGGACAAGUGAAGUUGAAGGCCCAAAAUCUGUAGUUAAGGCAUCAAAAGAUGAGUAUGAAAGUCUUCCUUCCUACAUGAAAAGUCUUGCAUCAUGGGAGUGCAUUUUACCCUGCAGGAUUUGCUUAUAGCUAUUGGGAAGAUAAACUCAUACCUGAGCAAGAAAGAGAACCUACUGGAACACAAGUGCUUCUUUCAAGACGAAAUAUCAUCAUUGGCAUUGGGGCCCAAGGCAAGAUCCUAUCUGCUGCUGCUUACUCGCAUGAACCACCUGGUUGUUGAGACAGUUGAUGGAUUGAUCUCGUACAGAGUUUUAUAGAAGGAAGUACCUUAGCAGAAAUGUACUUGUUGGAAUUACAGUGCUCAGUUUGUAUGUUCUGCGUAAGGCUUGACAUAGACAUUUUUCUGAGCACCAGACUUGUAGAGAAAUCUUCUUAUGAUAAAUGAUUACUUAAUUACA